GACAGAGGUGCCAAGCGUUAGGCGGAAUCACUGGGCUUAAAGCGUGUGUAGGCGGAUCGUUAAGUACCUUGUGAAAUCCCACGGCUUAACCGUGGAACUGCUGGGUAUACUGGCGGUCUUGAGCCACCUAGGGGCAGCUGGAACAAACGGUGGAGCGGUGAAAUGCGUAGAUAUCGUUUGGAACGCCAACGGUGAAAACAGGCUGCUGGGGGUGUGCUGAAGCUGAGAAAAGAAAGCCAGGGGAGCGAACGGG
rnacentral:rRNA from 1 species